rnacentral:rRNA from 1 species
CGCGUAGGUGGUAGUGCAAGUCUGAGGUGGAAUCCUAUGGCUUAACCAUAGAACUGCCUUGGAAACUGCAUUACUUGAGUCAGUGAGGGGAGGGUAGAAUUCCUGGUGUAGCGGUGAAAUGCGUAGAUAUCAGGAGGAAGGCCGGUAGCGAAGGCGGCCCUCUGGCGCUGAACUGACACUGAGGCGCGAAAGCGUGGGGAGCAAACAGGAUUAGAUACCCUGGUAGUCCACGCCCUAAACGGUGGGUACUAGGUGUAGGGCUCGUAAGGGUUCUGUGCCGAAGCGAAAGCAUUAAGUACCCCGCCUGGGGAGUACGGCCGCAAGGUUGAA